rnacentral:rRNA from 1 species
AUUGAACGCUGGCGGCAUGCUUUACACAUGCAAGUCGAACGGUAACAGGGAGCUUGCUCCGCUGACGAGUGGCGAACGGGUGAGUAAUGCGUCGGAACGCGCCGAGUAGUGGGGGAUAACGCAUCGAAAGGUGUGCUAAUACCGCAUACGAACUGAGGUUGAAAGUGGGGGACCUUCGGGCCUCACGCUAUUCGAGCGGCCGACGUCUGAUUAGCUAGUUGGUGAGGUAAAGGCUCACCAAGGCGACGAUCAGUAGCGGGUCUGAGAGGAUGAUCCGCCACACUGGGACUGAGACACGGCCCAGACUCCUACGGGAGGCAGCAGUGGGGAAUUUUGGACAAUGGGCGCAAGCCUGAUCCAGCCAUGCCGCGUGUCUGAAGAAGGCCUUCGGGUUGUAAAGGACUUUUGUCCGGGAGCAAAUGCUGGUGGCUAACAUCCACCGGAGCUGAGAGUACCGGGAGAAUAAGCACCGGCUAACUACGUGCCAGCCGCCGCCGUAACAC